ACUUUGGGAGGCCAAGGUGGGCAGAUCACUUGAGGCCAAGAGUUCAUGACCACCCUGGGCGACACAGCAAGACACCAUCUCUACAAAAGAUUU